rnacentral:rRNA from 1 species
UACGGAAGGCAGCAGUGGGGAAUAUUGCACAAUGGGCGCAAGCCUGAUGCAGCCAUGCCGCGUGUAUGAAGAAGGCCUUCGGGUUGUAAAGUACUUUCAGUCGUGAGGAAGGUGUUAAGGUUACUAACCUUAGCAAUUGACGUUAGCGACAGAAGAAGCACCGGCUAACUCCGUGCCAGCAGCCGCGGUAAUACGGAGGGUGCGAGCGUUAAUCGGAAUUACUGGGCGUAAAGGGCACGCAGGCGGUUAAUUAAGUUGGAUGUGAAAUCCCCGGGCUUAACCUGGGAAUGGCAUUCAAGACUGGUUAGCUAGAGUCUUGUAGAGGGGGUAGAAUUCCAUGUGUAGCGGUGAAAUGCGUAGAGAUGUGGAGGAAUACCGGUGGCGAAGGCGGCCCCUGGACAAAGACUGACGCUCAUGUGCGAAAGCGUGGGGAGCAAACAGGGAUUAGAUACC